CCCAUACUCACACAAGCCAUGAUUGAGGAGAGGAGGAUGUUCCUGGGACUUCGGGACCAGCUGUCUGAAGACUACCCGAGAGAUGGGCCACAGCCCGCUCCCACCCUUUUAACUGGACCAGACCCGGCACUGAAGAGGGAAGUAGAUGUGGACCGGGGGUGACUCACAUCUGGAGCAAACCUGCCCUGCCCUGCCUCCCCAGACCCCACCUUCCUCCAGAUGACUGAAACCCACGCUGGCACAGGAGGAGAGGGGCUGCCCGGGGCUGAGAGGCAGGCCCAGAGAGGUUGGGUCGCACCCCUUGCGAGCCCCUCAUCCCUCCUCCUAGAGUAAGCCAGCUGCCACGGAAACCAACAACAGAGCUUCACUUUUUCCUCCAGGGCCUCCCGCAAACCUCAGCAUUAGGGAGGGGUGGGGGGUGCCUAGCUCCCCUGCCUUUCCUCUGUGCUUCCCCUCCGAGGCCCACAGACACUCUAUCUGCCUGGUCAAGGAAUGGGGGCAUUUCAGGAGGAGUCCAGGCAGUCGUUGCUGUGACUGCCAUCAGGUGGGACUGGCUGGCUGUUCCAACCCAGUAGUUGGGCUCUCAGGGCCUCAGGAGCUGCUCCUCCAUUCUUCCCCCAGCCUGGAAGACGGGUCCAGCACCAGGAAGUGUUUGCUGUUGGAUGAGGGGCUGCUUUACUCCUCUCCGGCAUCUGGCCUGUCGAGAGAUGGAGUGGCAGGGUGACAGGGUGUAUAGGCUCCCGGAAAGGCCCCUUUGGGAGUCUGGAGACUUGGGUUCUGGUUCUAGCUCUGCCACGCCCUCCCCAGGGCAUCCUGGCAAGCUGCUUCUCCCUGCUUGCCUCAGUCUCCCCGUCUGUGAAUUGGGGAUGUGCAGCCCUGCUCUCCUGCAUAAGGUUAGUACAAGGUGGUGUUCAGGUCUGUUGUACUUCAUAGAUGAUUAUUUUUUUCAUAGAGUCUCAGAAGGUUUUAGCCUUCCUCUUGUCUCUUCUCCCAGGCUGAGUUCACCUUCCUGGGUCGGCAUUUAUGGGAGGCCUCCCCCUCACCACCACCCCCCAUCCCUUGGCAGUCUCCUCCUGCCUAGGCUGCGGUGGGGAGUCUCCCCAGAGUCCAGUGACCCCUAUAACAGGGGCCGCAGUUUUCCUGAGGCAGGGACCAGGGACAAGGUGCAUUGUGUGCCCCCCGCCCCCAUCUUGGGGCCUCCUAUUGGUGGCGCCUACUUAUCUGUCGGGCCCUGUGCCCGGCGCCUCACUUUCAUACAUUAUCUCAUUUCGUCUUCACCUCCCUCCUGGAGCAGGCCACGUGGGUGAAACUUCUGCACAGGGAAGCUGCUCUGGGGCUCUGAAAUGAAGCCGACGUUAGAAUCAGAGAAGACGGACAAGUCCUGAUUUGGGGGCUACCUGGCUGUGACUCUAGCCUUGGUCCUUGUCCUCCCCGAACCUGUAUCCAGGCCCGGAAGGUGGGAAUGUCACCCAUCUUGGAGGGUAGCAGGAUUGCAGGAGUGAUGUGAGAGGGGCUGCACGUCAGCUCUCUCUCCUGCACCCCCGAAGGCCAAGGGCACCCACCCCAGGGACUCUCCUCCCCCUCACUGGCCUGCCGCAGAGGCAGCGAGCUCUCUGGAAUUCCUCCAUCCUACAGGCUGGUGCUAUGGGCUGGACCUUGGCUGCUGCCAUGAGAAAUGAGCUGAACUUGUCCAGACAGGGGAUCCAGGCCAGCACGGCCCUUCCCAGCCUGCCCACUCCUGCCCUGCCCCCCGUGAAGGCCGCGCCUCCUCCAGCUGGCUGUGGUGGAGAGGGCUGCCAGGCCCACUGAGACACCAUCCACACCCCCAGGCAACCUGGCUGGCUCAGCUGGGGAAAGUGUGGGUGGUCAGAGCCUCCAGAGCUCCUUCAUUGAAUGAUGCAGAGACCACCCAGAGAGCGUGGCCACGUGGCCAGGGUCACACACGGAGCUAGCGCUGCAGCCCUCUCAUCCGCCGAGCCAAGGAAAGAACACUGUGGUCCGGGGAUACCUGGACCUCAAAAUGAUCUUUUCCUCCUGCUCCAUGAAGGAAGGACUAGUUGGGGGCUGCCCCCAACUUCAGAUACUUUUCCAACCAGUUUGUGCUGGAGCCUGCCUCCCCACUUACCCACUCAUCCAGUCCCACCUCCCUGCCUUUGCUUAUGCUGUUCCACCUGCCCAAGCCAGCCACCUCCCCAAACACAGUACACUCUGUCACUUUUGCCUUCCCACCUGGUGUUUGUCGCCCUCUGAACACAUGCCCCAGCUCGCCUUUGGGGAACACUCCUCCUCUCAUAUGAGGGCUGGGUGGGGUCCAGACCCUGUCAUUCAUUAGCCCUCCAGGGCUCAGGCAUGAGUCUUUUUUAUUUUUUUAAACGUUUGGGGGUGUGUGUGUGUGACAAUUAAUAGACUCAGAGGAAGCUAAGAGUUUUUUAAAAGCUUAGAAAAUAUUUGAGACUUGAAGAAAAAAAUGUGUUGGGCCCAAAAUUCUAAGACUGAAGAGCUGAAAUUAAUGAACAUUUACUGUGCUCAAACCUAACACUCGGUAGUCAUAAAAAUUGUAUUACCUUGAAAACCAUUUUGUGGGUUGAAUUUUCUUCGAAAGUGUGCCCAGUUCUCUCUAGAGGUUGGUCACUCCUAAAUUAGAUCCCCAUAGCCAAAUAAUGUCUAAAACAAAAGCAUAAAAAUAUUUGGAAAAAUGUAUAGCAAAAACACCCCAUAAAUCUAUUUAAUGGGGCCUGUGGGUACAUUUUAAUGUUUUCUGUAAUGUGCUUGGGACCUGUGUAUCAGGAGAGUUUGGGGCUGCAAAUAACAGAAAUCUCGACGAAAACUGCUUGAAAAUUAAGGAAAAUUCACAUACCAAGCAGUCUGGAGCUAGGAGGUUUCCAUGGUAGGUUAAUCCAGUGGCUCAAUGAAAUCAAAGAUCUGGGUUCCUGCAUGAUCAUGGAUUGUGGCCAUGUAGACAGUCCUUGCUCUUCUGCACAACCACAAUCCACAAUUCAUCCUUGCUCUUAGGACAGACAGGCUAAAGGAUUUGGGAUGAACUGUCUUCACAUCUGCAACAGACUCUCGAAUGAGUCAGUUAAAAAAUGUGAAGAUAUUGGAUGGGCCAAAAAGUGAACGAUCUUUUUGGCCAACCCAAUAUAUACAGAGCAGUUAAGCAAAUCAGACAAAUUGGGAAUCUAGGUGAAGGGCACAUGAGUGUUCAUUGUGCUGUUCUUGCACCUUUUCUGUUGGUUUGAAACAUUUCUAAAUUAAAAUUUGGGGAGUGUGACAUAAUAAGAAAUGUAUAUUUGGUCCAUGACCCUAGUUCCUGACACAGAGUUCCUAAAUCCUUUGGAAUUUCCUAAGUGAUAUGGGUGCCUGAAAGAGCAUCUUUUGUUCUAACAUUUUGGUCUCUGACCCCAGUUCCUGACACAGAGCUCCUAACUCCCUUGGAAUUUCCUGGGUGAUAGGAUCUUCUUUUGUUCUAAUGAGGUGACUCUUGGUGGGUACCUGGAUGGCUUCAGGAGGGGGGCUGGUCACCAGAAAGACCAAGCAGUGAUCAGAAGCUUGUAACUUUCAGCCCCGCCCCCCAUCCUCCAGGGAAGGGUGAGGGACUAGAGACUAACAAUCAGUCAUGCCUAUGUGAUGAACCCCUCCAUGAGAAUCCCCAAACCACACAGUCUGGAGAGCUUCUGGUUUGGUGAACACAUCCACAUGCUGGGAGGGUGGCACACCCUAACCCCACGGGAACAGAAGCCCCUCACUUUGUACCCUCCAGGACCUCAUGCUAUGUAUAUGUCUUCAUCUAGCUGUUCAUCCGUAAGCUUUAUCAUAUCCUUUAUUAUAUAAUAAAACUGUAUUCGUAGUGUU